rnacentral:rRNA from 1 species
AGGAUGAACGCUGGCGGCGUGCCUAACACAUGCAAGUCGAACGUCCUGUCUCGCAAGAGGCAGGGAGUGGCGGACGGGUGAGUACCACGCGGGUCAUCUACCGUGAGGUGAGGAAUACCGGCGAGAAAUCGCCGACAAGACCGCAUAGGCUCGAUGCAAGUCGAGCAAAGCUCUUUCGAGAGAGGGAGCGCCACACGAGGAGCCUGCGCCCAAUUAGCUAGCUGGUGGAGUAACGGUUCACCAGGGCGGCGAUCGGUAGCUGGUCUGAGAGGACGAUCAGCCACACUGGGAUUGAGAACGGCCCAGACUCCUACGGGGGCAGCAGUGAGGAAUUUCGUCAAUGGGGGCAACCCUGAACGAGCAACGCCGCGUGCAGGAAGAAGGUUUCGGAUCGUAAACUGCUUUUCUCGGGAAGAGAACGGACGGUACCCGAGGAAUCAGCCCGGCUAACUACGUGCCAGCAGCCGC